rnacentral:rRNA from 1 species
CCCCUAGAUGUUCUGGGCCGCACGCGCGCUACACUGAACAGUUCAACAAGUCUUAACCUUGGCCGAUAGGUCUGGGUAAUCUUUGAACGCUGUUCGUGAUUGGGAUAGACCUUUGCAAUUAUGGGUCUUCAACGAGGAAUUCCUAGUAAACGCAAGUCAUCAGCUUGCAUUGAUUACGUCCCUGCCCUUUGUAUACACCGCCCGUCGCACCUACCGAUUGAAUGGUCCGGUGAAAUCUCGGGACGGCGGCUUGGUCGCUUGCGUCCGACUGCUGAAACUUGAUUAAACCAUAUCAUUUAGAGGAAGGUGAAGUCGUANCA